ACACUGGUAGCUCGGUUGGUAGAGCACGAGACUCCUAAUCUCUAGGUCAUGGGUUUGAUCCCCACAUUGUGCA